AUAUCUCUCUGUACGGGAAAGAUGAGAAGCUUCGACUAAGGUUCGAUUCGAGCGAAAGCGAGAAAGCGUUGCCGCAGGCAACGACCCGAAGGGCGAAGCGCGCAGCGCUGAGUCAUCCUUCCCCCACCACCA
rnacentral:sRNA from 1 species